rnacentral:misc_RNA from 1 species
GAUGAAGAACGUAGCGAAAUGCAAUACUUGGUGUGAAUUGCAGAAUCCCGUGAACCAUCGAGUCUUUGAACGCAAGUUGCGCCCGAAGCCAUUAGGCCGAGGGCACGCCUGCCUGGGCGUCACACGUCGUUGCCCCCCCAUCUACUCCUUCGGGAUUGCGGGGGGCGGAUGAUGGCCUCCCGUGCGCCUCGUCGCGCGGUUGGCAUAAAUACCAAGUCCUCGGCGACGCACGCCACGACAAUCGGUGGUUGCGAAACCUCGGUUGCCCGUCGUGUGCGGUCGUCGCGCAUCGAGGGCUCGAAAAAAUUGCCGGGCUCCGGCUCGGCUUUCAACGCGACCCCAGGUCAGGCGGGGUUACCCGCUGAAUUUAAGCAUAUCAAUAAGCGAGGA